UUCACCAUGUUGGCCAGGAUGGUCUCGAUCUCUUGACCUUGUGAUCUGCCUGCCUUGGCCUCCCAAAGUGCUGGGAUUAUAGGUGUGAGCCACUGUGCCUGGCAAAAAUUUUAAUUUUUUUUACCCUAAGUCAUAAGUACUUAUGCUCUCAAAUUUUAGAAAGGUUAAUAUCAAAGACUGGAAAUGUCCCUUUUCCACCAGACUUUCAAGGCUCUUAGAGUCACUGUGCAUUCAAUCCAGUCUCCUUAGCUAUCCUUGUCUAUUUCUUAAGUUCUUAUAAUCAUGUGAUGACUAAGACCAGAUCCUGAAUUUCAAGAAUAAGAAAACAGAAUUGUUUAUGAAAGCCAUUCAACCAAGGUUUUCUGGCUGUACUUUGGCUAAUUAGAAUACCCCAUCUAUGAAUGUUCCAGUUUUUUUUUUUUUAAAAAAACUUUGUUAAGUUCAAAGUAGUUGGGGGAUAGAUGAAAAUACAUUCGGCAAAGCAGGUGUAAUUUACUGCUUACUGUAGAAUCUAGGUAGUGGGUAUAUGGAUGUUCCACUUUAAGCUACAUUUAACAUUCUUUUCAUAGUAAUGAUUUUUAUAAUAAAGUGUUAAAGAAAAUAGAGUUGGGAAAAAUCAAGGCUAUUUUACUGGUUCACUCCAACAUUAUAUAUAAUUUGAAUAUUUGCUAAUUUUUUUUGCUAAUAAUUCUAAAAGCUCACUUAUAUGUAGCAUACAGCACAAAUAAGUUGAUCUUAUGAGGUUGUAAACUUUGAAUCUCCUGAAUGUUUUUCUCUGCAUUUUCAAGUAGGUUCGUUAGUUGGUUAUAACAUCUAAAAAAUUAGAACUCUAGUUAAUGACAGAAAUACCAAAGCCAUUGUAAACAAGAGCUGAAAGAUGAGAGAAAUGAUAAUGUAAUUAAGCACUGGCUUAUUUGGGAAACGUGACAGAUAACAUUUAGUGUUAAUGUUGACACAAAUAUUAAUUCUUUUUUUUUUUUUUUUUUAAAGACAGGGUUUCACCAUGUUGGUCAGGCUGGUCUUGAACUCCCGACCUCAGGAGAUCCGCCCGCCUUGGCCUCCAAAGUGCUUGGAUUACAGGCGUGAGCCACAGUGCCCGGCAUAUUAAUUCUUGAGAAUAAUUAGAGAAGGGCGAAGACGUAAGUGGAGAUUAUAAAGAUUCUGAAAAAGGCUUGGUUCGGUGGCUCAUGCCUAUAAUCCCAGAACUUUGGGAGGCAAAGGCAGGAGGAUCACUUGAGGCCAGGCAUUGAAGACCACCUGGGCAACAUUAGUGAGACUCUCCAUCUCUACAAAACAAAGAUUCUGGAAGGGAUUUAUAAUGGUCCCUCGUUUGGGAAGAGAGUUAAAGAAAUGAAAGUGGAAUAACUGCAAGCAGUGAAAGGAAAUGUGUUUAUGACACAUCGCCAGGCACAGUGGUGUGUGCUGGUCCCAAUUACUUGGGAAGCUGAGGCGGAGGAUGGCUUGAGUCCAGGAGUUUGGGGCUGUACUGUGCUAUGCCAAUUAGGGGUCCACACUAAGUUUGACAUCAAUAUGAUGACCUUCCUGGAAGGGGGGGCACCAGGUUUAGUAAUGAGGGGUAAACUGGCCCGGGUUAGAAACAGAGCAGGUCAAAACUCCUGUGCUGAUCAGUAGUGGGAUCAUGCCUGCGAAUAGCCACUGCACUCCCAUCUGGGCAACACAGCAAGACCCUGUCUUAUAAAAAAAUAAUAAAAAAGAGAUGCAUGUCCUCAGGAAAGAAAGGGGCUGAUUGAGGGCUACUUAAGGCUGAAGUGACUAGGGAGUAAAGGGUAAGGCAGUGUGCAACUCUUAACCUUUCACUGGUUCCUGCCUUUUAAAGCCUUUAAUGCUGAAUUAACACCAGUGGAGUAAAUGAGAUGCUAAAAGCAUUGUUUGAAAUUAUCCCUUAAGUGAUGUAGUUCCACUUUCUAUGACAGACACUGAAACUACAAUCUUUUGGUCAAAAUAAAGGGUGAGGCCGGGCGUGGUGGCUCACGCCUGUAAUCCCAGCACUUUGGGAGGCCGAGGCGGGUGGAUCACCUAAGGUCUGGAGUUCGAGACCAGCCUGACCAACAUGGCGAAACCCUGUCUAAAAAAAAAAAAAAAAAAAAAAAAAGUGUGGAUGAGGUGUGAUCACAAAAACCUCAAAUGAGUUAUCAGUUAUAUUUGACCACUGACAGGUAGCUUAGAGCUUUAUAUAAAGGACUAUUUGAACUAUAAAAUUUUCAUCCAUGUUUUUAAGUGGCAUUAAAAAAAAAUCCCAUUUAAUAGGAUAUAUAGUAUGAGUAAGAAAUUAUAAAGUGUAAAACAAUAUAAAAAUUGCUAUUUAUAGAAUGUAAAGAAUUUAUAUAGUCAUGCACUGCAUAACAACAUUGAGGUCAACAAUGGACCACAUAUAUGAUGGUGGUCCCAAAAUAUUCUAAUGGAGAACAUAUAGAAAUCUGAUAUAUGGCACUUAAUGUGGCACUGCAGAUCAAGUCAUGGAAAUAUCACCAUUACUGCUAUUCAGUAAUGGUGCUGGGACAUUUGGAUUUCUGUAUGAAAAAAUAUAUGUACAUAAAAAUAUGCAUACCAUCUAGAUUUGUGUAAGUACACCUUAUGUUUGCACAACAGAAUCACCUAAUGAUGUGUUUCUCAGAAUGUAUCCUGUCAUUAAGUGAUGUGUGACUAUAUCCAAUAAAAACUGUAAUGAAUAUCCUAA